rnacentral:rRNA from 1 species
GACGAACGCUGGCGGCGUGCUUAGCACAUGCAAGUCGAACGGAAAGGCCCUGCUUUUGUGGGGUGCUCGAGUGGCGAACGGGUGAGUAACACGUGAGUAACCUGCCCUUGACUUUGGGAUAACUUCAGGAAACUGGGGCUAAUACCGGAUAGGAGCUCCUGCUGCAUGGUGGGGGUUGGAAAGUUUCGGCGGUUGGGGAUGGACUCGCGGCUUAUCAGCUUGUUGGUGGGGUAGUGGCUUACCAAGGCUUUGACGGGUAGCCGGCCUGAGAGGGUGACCGGCCACAUUGGGACUGAGAUACGGCCCAGACUCCUACGGGAGGCAGCAGUGGGGAAUAUUGCGCAAUGGGCGGAAGCCUGAUGCAGCAACGCCGCGUGCGGGAUGACGGCCUUCGGGUUGUAAACCGCUUUCGCCUGUGACGAAGCGUGAGUGACGGUAAUGGGUAAAGAAGCACCGGCUAACUACGUG